GUCGAGCGGUAGAGAGAAGCUUGCUUCUCUUGAGAGCGGCGGACGGGUGAGUAAUGCCUAGGAAUCUGCCUGGUAGUGGGGGAUAACGUUCGGAAACGGACGCUAAUACCGCAUACGUCCUACGGGAGAAAGCAGGGGACCUUCGGGCCUUGCGCUAUCAGAUGAGCCUAGGUCGGAUUAGCUAGUUGGUGAGGUAAUGGCUCACCAAGGCGACGAUCCGUAACUGGUCUGAGAGGAUGAUCAGUCACACUGGAACUGAGACACGGUCCAGACUCCUACGGGAGGCAGCAGUGGGGAAUAUUGGACAAUGGGCGAAAGCCUGAUCCAGCCAUGCCGCGUGUGUGAAGAAGGUCUUCGGAUUGUAAAGCACUUUAAGUUGGGAGGAAGGGCAUUAACCUAAUACGUUAGUG
rnacentral:rRNA from 1 species